rnacentral:rRNA from 1 species
UACGUAGGGGGCUAGCGUUAUCCGGAAUUACUGGGCGUAAAGGGUGCGUAGGUGGUUUCUUAAGUCAGAGGUGAAAGGCUACGGCUCAACCGUAGUAAGCCUUUGAAACUGGGAAACUUGAGUGCAGGAGGGGAGACUGGAAUUCCCGGUGUAACGGUGGAAUGUGUAGAUAUCGGGAAGAACACCAAUGGCGAAGGCAGGUCUCUGGGCCGUUACUGACGCUGAGGAGCGAAAGCGUGGGGAGCGAACAGG